rnacentral:rRNA from 1 species
AGCCGCCGCGGUAAUACCAGCAGUUCAAGUUGCAUCCCUUUUUAUUGGGUCUAAAACAUCCGUAGCUUGCCGUUUAAGUCUCUUGUGAAAUCCUACGUCUCAAGCGUGGGGCUUGCAGGAGAUACUGAGCGGCUAGAGAUCGGUAGACGUAAGGAGUACGCCGGAGGUAGUGGUAAAAUACGUUAAUCUUCGGUGGACUAACAAUGAGCGAAGGCACCUUACGAGGACGAAUCUGACAGUGAGGGAUGAAGGCCAGGGGCGCAAAACGGAUUAGAUACCCGUGUAGUCCUGGCAGUAAACGCUGCUCACUAAACAUCGGGCCCUCUUCGGGAGGAUUCGGUGCUGUAGGGAAGCCGUAAAGUGAGCUACCUGGGAAGUAUAGUCGCAAGAUCGAAACUUAAAGGAAUUGGCGGGGAGACAUACAACGAGUGACGCGUGCGGUUCAAUUAGAUUUUACACCGUGAACCUCACCAGGAGCGACAGCAGGAUGAAGGUCAGUCUAAAGGGCUUACCUGACACGCUGAGCGGAGAUGCAUGGCCGACGUCAGCCUGUGCUGUGAAGUGACCUGUUAAAUCAGGUAACAGGCGAGACCCGUGUCGAUAAUUACUACAGAAAUGGGUACCUUAUCGAGACUGCCUUGGUAACAAGGAGGAAGGUGCGGGCUACGUUAGGUGAGUACGUCCCUAAUCCCCUGGGCUACACGCGCGCGGCAAUGGUAUGUUCAAAUGGAUGCGACUCCGAGAGGAGAAGCUAAUCCCCUAACGCAUAUCUCAGUCCAGAUUGAGGGUUGCAACCCACCCUCAUGACGUUGGAAUUCGUAGUAAUCGGGUAUUAGCACUGCCCGGUGAAUAAGUCCCUGUCUCU